rnacentral:rRNA from 1 species
GACGAACGCUGGCGGCGUGCUUAACACAUGCAAGUCGAACGGUAAGGCUCCAGCUUGCUGGGGUACACGAGUGGCGAACGGGUGAGUAACACGUGGGUGACCUGCCCUGCACUUCGGGAUAAGCCUGGGAAACUGGGUCUAAUACCGGAUAGGACCAUGGUGUGGAUACUGAGGUGGAAAGUUUUUUCGGUGUGGGAUGGGCCCGCGGCCUAUCAGCUUGUUGGUGGGGUAAUGGCCUACCAAGGCGGCGACGGGUAGCCGGCCUGAGAGGGUGGACGGCCACAUUGGGACUGGAACGCGGCCCAGACUCCUACGGGAGGCAGCAGUGGGGAAUAGUGCACAAUGGGCGGAAGCCUGAUGCAGCGACGCCGCGUGGGGGAUGACAGCCUUCGGGUUGUAAUCUCCUUUCACCAUCGACGAAGGGUUUCUGACGGUAGAUGGAGAAGAAGCACCGGCUAACUACGUG